GGGGAAUUUUCCGCAAUGGGCGAAAGCCUGACGGAGCAAUACCGCGUGAGGGAGGAAGGCUCUUGGGUUGUAAACCUCUUUUCUCAAGGAAGAAAAAAAUGACGGUACUUGAGGAAUAAGCAUCGGCUAACUCCGUGCCAGCAGCCGCGGUAAUACGGAGGAUGCAAGCGUUAUCCGGAAUGAUUGGGCGUAAAGCGUCCGCAGGUGGCUAUGUAAGUCUGCUGUUAAAGAGUGAGGCUUAACCUCAUAAAAGCAGUGGAAACUACAUGGCUAGAGUGCGUUCGGGGCAGAGGGAAUUCCUGGUGUAGCGGUGAAAUGCGUAGAGAUCAGGAAGAACACCGGUGGCGAAAGCGCUCUGCUAGGCCGCAACUGACACUGAGGGACGAAAGCUAGGGGAGCGAAUGGGAUUAGAUACCCCAGUAGUCCUAGCCGUAAACGAUGGAUACUAGGCGUGGCUCGUAUCGACCCGAGCCGUGCCGUAGCUAACGCGUUAAGUAUCCCGCCUGGGGAGUACGCAGGCAACUGUGAAACUCAAAGGAAUUGACGGGGGCCCGCACAAGCGGUGGAGUAUGUGGUUUAAUUCGAUGCAACGCGAAGAACCUUACCAGGACUUGACAUGUCGCGAAUUUCUGUGAAAGCAGAAAGUGCCUUCGGGAGCGCGAACACAGGUGGUGCAUGGCUGUCGUCAGCUCGUGUCGUGAGAUGUUGGGUUAAGUCCCGCAACGAGCGCAACCCUCGUUUUUAGUUGCCAGCAUUAAGUUGGGCACUCUAGAGAGACUGCCGGUGACAAACCGGAGGAAGGUGGGGAUGACGUCAAGUCAGCAUGCCCCUUACGUUCUGGGCUACACACGUACUACAAUGCUACGGACAAAGGGCAGCAAGCAUGCGAAUGCAAGCUAAUCUCAUAAACCGUGGCUCAGUUCAGAUCGCAGGCUGCAACUCGCCUGCGUGAAGGAGGAAUCGCUAGUAAUUGCAGGUCAGCAUACUGCAGUGAAUUCGUUCCCGGGCCUUGUACACACCGCCCGUCACACCAUGGAAGCUGGUAGUGCCCGAAGUCAUUACCCCAACCGCUUGCGGAGGGGGAUGCCUAAGGCAGGACUGGUGACUGGGGUGAAGUCGUAACAAGGUAGCCGUACCGGAAGGUGUGGCUGGAUCACCUCCU
rnacentral:rRNA from 1 species